CACACGCAGAAGCUGUUAAGCCUCAUUAAAGGGACAUUCCACUGUCCAAAUAAUCAUUUAGUAGCUUUACCCCCAAUGAAAAUAUUCAAAUAUGCAUUUUGCAUUGGGGGUAUAUCAAAAAACAGCUUGCAAAACUUAUCUGCAGCCUUUACAAACCAUCUCCUUCUAAUCCAGCUGAAACGUUCUGUGGCUGUCCAAUCACAGACUUCCCUGUGCAACUCAAUGAGAAUGGUUUGCAAGGUGGGUGCUCUGGGCAAUUGCUGCCUCUUUAGUUUCGCUCCACUGAACUAAACAACCAGGAAUUAACAAAAUUAGUUGUCUGAUGAAAAGCCAGGGAGUAUAACCAGAUUACUUUAUAAAAAGUGCAAAUUUUCAUUAAAAACGAUUUGUAAAUUCGAUAGGGAAAAAAAAAACAAACAAACGACUUCACACGUAAAGCACUUUGGCAAGUUCUUGUUUGUAGUGUCCCUUUAAGGACUCGAACAGGUGUCAUUUAAUAGGGCAUGUACAUUUGUAUCUGACAAAAUGUGGAGUUAAAGGUAUACUAUAGUCACCAAAACAAUUUUUGCUUAAUGAAGCAGUUUUGGUGUAUAGAUCACACUCUUUUCAAAACUCCAAGAAAGCAUUAUUUUUCCCAGUACCUAAUCCAGUGUACUGUGUUGUUACAUUUCCUUUUUUUGCCAAGGAUAGCUCUAGCAUUUGAUACUUCAGGACAUGAGGAAAUUCGUAAAAGCUACUAUUUGAUCCAGAUGUGGGUAGGUCACCUUCAGCACACCAGAUGCUGUGGACUACAUCUCACUCAACAUCCAUAGUGCUGGCAAAGCUUUAUGGGAAAUUUAGUCAACAACAUCUGGAAUGCUGAAGUUUGCUUACUGCAGCAUCAGGAGAAAGGCGAAUUAAACUGGCAGCAGCUGCAUAUAGAUUAGGGAUCCUGUACUGCAUUGGGACAAUUAAUCCACAUGUUACAGGGAAUAAUGAAUCAAUGGUAUCACCUGCCAUGGAAGAAGAGCUUGAAAACAGGAGAGCACAAGAGGAGACAUUUUUCAUAUAAAGUACCUCUACAAUAUAACAGGUAGGACGUUUUAUCCACUUCUAGUACCUGAAGCAUUACCCUUAUUGCAGUAGUAAUAAGAACAUAAAAAAGACAUUUGGCAGAGUGUGUAAAAAUGUUUCAAAAACUUAGAUAUAGAAUACAGGGUGCAGUACCCAGAGACUCCUGGCAAAGUAACAUCACUAAGCUGAAGGGUUUGCUUAUCGUGCU